AGAAUCCAAAGUACGCCCGAGGACUUCAGGAACCAUGCCAAAGCCACACAGUGAACCAGGGACUGCCUUCAUUCAGACCCAGCAGUUCCAUGCAGCCAGGCCUGACACCUUCCUGGAGCACAUGUGCCACCUGGACAUUCACUCUGCGCCCAUCAUAGCCCACAACACUGGCAUCAUUUGUACCAUUGGCCCUGCUUCCCGAUCUGUGGAAAUGCUGAAGGAGAUGAUUAAGUCUGGAAUGAAUGUGGCUCUGCUGAAUUUCUCUGAUGGAACCCGUGAGUACCAUGCAGAGACCAUUAAGAAUGUGCGUGCAGCCACAAAGCUUUUCAUCCGAUCCCAUUCUCUACCAUCCCGUUGUGGUGGCUCUGGACACAAAGGGACCUGAGAUCCGGACUGGACUCAUCAAGGGCAGCGGCACUGCAGAGGUGGAGCUGAAGAAGUGAGACACUCUUAAGGUCACCCUGGACAACACCUACAAAGAGAAGUGUGAUGAGAACAUCCUGUGGUUGGAAUAUAAGAACAUAUGCACGGUGGUGGAGGUGGGCAGCAAGUUCUACGUGGACAAUGGUCUCAUCUCACUGCAGGUGAAGGAGAAAGGUGCUGACUUCCUGGUAACAGAGGUAGAGAAUGGUGGCUCCUAGGGCAGCGAGAAGGGUGUCAACCUGCCUGGCGCUGCUGUGGACCUCCCCGUCCUGUCAGAAAAGGACAUCCAGGACCUGAAGUUUGGGGUGGAACAGGAUGUAGACAUGGUGUUUGCGUCUUUCAUCCGCAAGGCAGCCAACGUUCAUGAAGUUAGGAAGGUCCUGGGAGAGAAGGGGAAGAACAUCAAGAUCAUCGGCAAAAUUGAGAACCAUAAAGGUGUGCGCAGGUUUGACGAGAUUUCGGAAGCCAUCGAUGGGAUCAUAGUGGCUCGUGGUGACGUGGGAAUUGAGAUUCUUGCAGAGAAGGUCUUCCUGGCUCAGAACAUGAUGAUCGAUGAUCGGGCAAUGCAACCAAGCUGGGAAGCCUGUCAUCUUUGACACACAGAUGCUGGAGAGCAUGAUCAAGAAGCAACACCCCACCCGUGCUGAAGGCGGUGAUGUGGACAUGCAGUCCGUGGCAUCUUUCCUGUCUGUGUUAGGAUGCCGUACUAAAUGUCUGGGCUGA